CAAACCAGUGCUACCAACGUCUACGGCGAUGGACGUGAAACCAUAGAGUCACAGUAAACCUAUUUUUGUGUCACUGCUCGAGACCAAAAUCCUGAUUAUUCCAGUAAUUCAGAUUGGCUCUCGACUGUUAUUAAGCUUUUGCGGACUACUCUGGUCAUUUUUCAAAAAAGUGCUGCUCGAAACAGCGAACCCGUCGGCCGUUUAUACUUAUAGUUUGCCACGGGAUAAAUCGUUGGCCACUUUGCUCUGGGACAGCUCUCUUGUGUUGACCUUAAUAAUCCAGGGCAUUUAACGUUAAACCGGCGGCACAACGGUGGUCCCGAAGUUAUAAUUAAACCGGAACCUAGCAUUUUUUUCAUAGCAGCACUUUCUAAAGAGUUAUUUCUCUUGAAAACUCACUGCCAUCAGUCAGAUGGUAGUAUGCAACCAGGAAAUUGUCAACGUUACCCGGAAGCAGCAGAUGAUUAUAUGUUCCAUCAAACGCAACAUGGGGUUAAAAAGAUGUGGCACUGUAGACAGCCUCCAGUUCCCAAUUCAUUAGACGAUUUAGUAGAAAUGUUAGAUGACAAAUAGGUAUUGCCAAACCAUUCGAAGACGUCCAUCUAGUGGUGUCAUCAAGUUCAUGAAACACAAAUUUUCCAAAGUAAGUGGCCUCCUUUCGUGUAUUUUACAUUAAUGGUGUAUGCUUUCCUAGUAUUAAUUUACCAAAAAAAUUAUGAGGCACUUUUGAACAUUGUACAUAAUAUUCAGCCAUUGAAGUACUAACAGCUGUCUAUAAGAUGCCAUUGAUGAAUUGUGUUUUCAAUGUGAUACCCGAGACCAUGUGAGUGAAUUAAUGAGUUCUUGGUUUUAAGUCUGCCAGAACUACAACAUGGUGUUUUUGUCACAUUUAAAAUACAAUACAGAAUUGUAUCAUUCUCAAUGGUGUAUGCAUUCCUGAUAUUAAUUUACCAAGAAAGUUACUAGGCACUUUUGAACAUUGAAGUACUAACAGCUGUGUAUAUUAAGAUGAAUUAUGUUCUCGAUGUGAUGGCCGAGACCCUGAGAGCAAAUUAAUGAGUUCUUGUUUUAUUAUUGUCAGAUAGUCAUACGCUAUUGUACUUGGAAAAUUAAUAGCAUAUUAUAUCACCUGCUUCAAGGUAGCCCUGUUGCAGCUAGAGUUUGGAUAAUGGUAUUAGCUUCACAACUUUUACCUGAGAAAAGAGGCCAUCCAGAUUGUCCUUAAUAUAAUAUUAUUAAUGUCCAAGUAUUGAAGAACUU